AAGCAAUAUCUGACCUUGUAGGGUUUUUCCUGGCUUGGGAAGGACUUCUUCAAAGUCAUCUCAUCCCCUGCUGCCUGCAGGACAGGCCCACCUGUAAACGGAGGUUGCUGGCAUCCUGUGCGGCUCAGGCACCUGUCUCUCGGCCCCAUCUGCGUCCAUCGGGAAGAUGAGAAAAUCCAGGACUGAACCCAGGACCUCCACCCCGGGCCUCCCACAUGCCUCUCUACAAGCACUCUGCCAUUGAGCCACAACCCCAGCCUUUUGUUUUUCUUUUGAGACAGUGUCUAAGUUACUCAGGCUGGCCUCAAACUUGGGAUCCUCCUGCCUUAGCCUCCGGAAUCACUAGAAUGACAGGGACCCAGUUUCUAUUCUUUUUUUUUUUUUAAUUAAA